rnacentral:rRNA from 1 species
UGGGGAAUCUUGCACAAUGGGCGAAAGCCUGAUGCAGCGACGCCGCGUGCGGGAUGAAGGCCUUCGGGUUGUAAACCGCUUUCAGCAGGGACGAGGCCGCAAGGUGACGGUACCUGCAGAAGAAGCCCCGGCUAACUACGUGCCAGCAGCCGCGGUAAUACGUAGGGGGCAAGCGUUAUCCGGAUUCAUUGGGCGUAAAGCGCGCGUAGGCGGUUUGUUAGGUCAGGAGUUAAAUCUGGGGGCUCAACCCCUAUCCGCUCCUGAUACCGGCAGGCUUGAGUCUGGUAGGGGAAGGCGGAAUUCCAAGUGUAGCGGUGAAAUGCGCAGAUAUUUGGAAGAACACCGGUGGCGAAUGCGGCCUUCUGGGCCACGACUGACGCUGAGGCGCGAAAGCUAGGGGAGCGAACAGG